rnacentral:lncRNA from 1 species
AUGUGGUUUGGGUGCGCACCUGGCCAGGUGCGGGGGGAGGCGGCCGGCCAGGCCCCCUGCCCCGGCUGCAGGGCUCCCGUCCCCAGCCAAGCAGCCCGAAGCCUAAUUCCGUAUCAAAGCAGAUAUCUGCCCCCCCACCACCACCCCCCAAAACACACAGCGCCCCAUCCCAUCGGGGCGAGCAACCAACGACAACAACCAAACAAAACAUUGCCCAAACAAAAAGCCCCGAGCCCCGGCUCUCUGCAGAGCCACACAUUGAAUGAAUCUGCCUGUAAGGUUUUAAUUACAGCGAAGCCUUCGCUACAAAUCUGUACAAGAGACAGUGGCUGGUUCCCUCUGGAUCCUUCCCCUUCUGACUCCCAUUAUUUUGACCCACGCUACAGCACAGAGAGCGGCGUGUGUGAUCCAGCUGCGGGGCUGGGCUGGGGUUUACCCCCCCGCCCCCGCCUCCCUGCCACUUCCUUCACACUCGCGGUACGGAAAGCCAUCGACGCCUGCCUGUCUGUUAUAAUCCAGCGGCUGGAAAGCCGGAGGAGCCUCCGCUCCCGCUCUUUGCGCUGGCAGCGCUCUUAUUCCCCAGCCUCUCCUCCAAACAGCUCGCUCGCAGCCUGGGGAGGUGCCCUCCUUGUGCUCGCCUGUCGAGGCGGCGGCGAUGCGGCAUGCUGGCCGUGUGUUUUGGGGGCAAACAGGCUUGAGAGAGAGAGGGAAAGGGAGAAAAAAAAUAAUAAUAACGCCAUCUGCGGAUGCGGGGCGAGGCGUUUGGGUUUGGCCCCUCCGGGCUGCAAAAGACGCGGGGCAGCUCCCCGCGCAAUUCUGCGGGGGGGGGCGCUCCAAAAACCGGCUCGGCAGAGAAAUGCCUCCGGGAGGGAUGCUCCCUGGCUUUGCGCCCCUCCUGGGAUUUCCCCACCGCCGCCGCCACCACUUUACUGGGGACCCCGGCUCCGAGCGCCUCUCGCUCCCUUUGUUCCUUCGGUUCUGGUGCUAAAAAAAUCAAGGGGCAAGGCAACCCCCGGCCACGCAGACAACUUUCAGCAUUUCCGCGUCCCUUUGAAAAUCGAACAGCAAGGUCUGCCUCGGGCAUGUGCGUGGGGUUCCCGCGGAAACAAAAAAUAA